UUGGUGAUUCCGCAGCGCGGCGCUCGACGAGUUAUUACCCAGAGUGUCGAUUGUGAUUCCGCGGGCGCCUGGUCUACGCAUACGCAAGCAGGACGCAGCAGUGUUAGAAAACUCGCCGUUCGGCACUCUGUCCGGUGCGCCCUCUGAAUCCAGCGGCUUCCCAUCUCUUCCUGUCUUCUUAAGGUCGUCAGUCCACCUGGUUGGUCUGUGCUCCUUCUGCCGAGACGUGGUCGCCAACAUGUUUAUCAUUUAUAUAAUAUUGAACAGAAUACUAAGAUUUAGCUGAUAUAUUUUUUGUAAUUGUCAUAUGCACUCAAAUGUAUAAUUAUGACUACAUAAUAAAGUUAUAGUAAA